GACGAACGCUGGCGGCGUGCUUAACACAUGCAAGUGGUGCGACGAACCAGGGCUUGCCCUGGGGCAAAGCCGCGAACGGGUGAGUAACACGUGAGUAAUCUGCCCCGAUGACCGGGACAACCCGAGGAAACUCGGGCUAAUACCGGAUGUGGUGCAUUGGCUUAAGCCUUUGUACUAAAGGAAGCUUCGGCCUCCGCAUUGGGAGGAGCUCGCGGCCCAUUAGCUUGUUGGUGGGGUAACGGCCUACCAAGGCAACGAUGGGUAGCUGGUCUGAGAGGACGAUCAGCCACACUGGGACUGAGACACGGCCCAGACUCCUACGGGUGGCAG
rnacentral:rRNA from 1 species